AGCAGCAGAAGAGUGAUGGUGCGCAAUGUGCUCAGCGCCAUGCCCACCUUCGCCCUCUCAGUGCUGCGGGUGCCAAAAAAACUGCUCAAAGAAAUAGACAAGUGUAGGAGGCGUUUCCUAUGGAAGCAGGACGAGGAAGCAACAGGGGCCAGCUGCAAGGUAAAUUGUCCAACAGUUUGUGCGCCAACUGAAAAGGGAGGGCUGGGGAUCCUGGACCUGCAAAGUUUCAGUCGAGCACUAUGGCUACGGUGGCUAUGGAUUGCCUGGAAGGACCAGGACAGACCAUGGGUUGGCACACCACCGCCUUGUGAAGACAUCGACAGAGCCUUGUUUGCUGCAGCAACAACGGUCACCAUUGGAGAUGGUACAACGAUGUCUUUCUGGCACUCAACUUGGGUCGGCCCGAAGACGCUUGCACAAAGCUACCCAGCCCUAUUCAAACACUCCAAGCGCAAAAACAGGACAGUUUCAGAAGCCCUACAAAAUGAUGCAUGGAUCAAUGACCUUGAGCACGGUGAUAUCAGCCAGAUACUGCCUGAAUUCCUGCAGCUGCACCGAAGGAUCAGAGAGGCAAACAUCCACUUAGAUGGAGUGUUGAGGGACCAAAUUUGGUGGAACAUGGAGGCAAAAGGGGAAUACACAACAAGUUCAGCUUACAAGAUGCAUUUUCAAGGUCGGCAAAAUUCAGUUUUUGAAAGCAUCAUUUGGAAGGCGUGGGCUCCAGGGAAGGUAAAUAUGUUCGGCUGGCUGCUGCUGCAGAAUUGUGUCUAG
rnacentral:rRNA from 1 species